CGGGGUGGAGUAAUGUCUGGGAAACUGCCUGAUGGAGGGGGAUAACUACUGGAAACGGUAGCUAAUACCGCAUAACGUCGCAAGACCAAAGAGGGGGACCUUCGGGCCUCUUGCCAUCGGAUGUGCUCAGAUGGGAUUAGCUAGUAGGUGGGGUAACGGCUCACCUAGGCGACGAUCCCUAGCUGGUCUGAGAGGAUGACCAGCCACACUGGAACUGAGACACGGUCCAG
rnacentral:rRNA from 1 species